UACGGAGGGGGCUAGCGUUGUUCGGAAUUACUGGGCGUAAAGCGCGCGCAGGCGGUCUUCCAAGUCAGUGGUGAAAGCCCGGAGCUCAACUCCGGAACUGCCAUUGAAACUGUGAGACUUGAGGAUGAGAGAGGUGAGUGGAAUUCCCAGUGUAGAGGUGAAAUUCGUAGAUAUUGGGAAGAACACCGGUGGCGAAGGCGGCUCACUGGCUCAUAUCUGACGCUCAGGCGCGACAGCGUGGGGAUCAAACAGG
rnacentral:rRNA from 1 species